rnacentral:rRNA from 1 species
AUGGCCCAUGCAAGAAGCAUCCCCCUACCCACGUACUACGACCUGAUGAUCAGCUGCUUCCUGUUAUUUCUAGCCAUGACCUACGCGACAACUCACGCCGCCGCACUGUCCUUCGACUACAACUUCACCGUCCCGAGGGACCGCAAGCAGCUCAAAUUCAUCAACGCCUCCUACGCUGGCCGCGACCGGGUCAUCCUCACCGACGACAGCUCCAACCUCACCGGCCGCGUCGUGCACCGUAAGCCCGUGCGCCUCUGGGACGACCGUACCGGCAGGAGAGCCAGCUUCACGACGAGCUUCCGCUUCGCCAUCGUCCAGGAAAGCAACAGGACGGACAACCUCUCACGGGGCGACGGCAUGGCGUUCUUCCUCGGGCCUUUCCCGGCGACGACCCCUCCUCCGGGCUCCGACGGCGGCCUCCUCGGGCUCUUCAGCAACCCCAACAGCACCGGCGCCGCCGACUCGCGACGCCCGCCGCACAUCCUCGCCGUGGAGUUCGACACGCGCUGGAACCACGGCUGGGACCCCUCGAACGGGGACGGCGCCGGCGGUGGCGACCACAUCGGCGUCGACGUCAACGGCAUCAGGUCCAACCGGACCAGAAGCCUGCCGCCGUUGAGCCUACAUGGAAUCAUGUGGGCGAGCGUCACGUACGACGGCGAGUCCAAGGUGAUGAAGGUGGCGCUACGGAAAACCGAGCUGGCGUCGGAGGAGUCGAGCACCACGUACGAGUUCAACGCCACCAUGGAUCUCAGGGACGACGCCGGCCUUGUACAGGACGCCGCCGUCGGGUUCUCGGCGGCCACCGGUGUCCUCUGCGAGUCGCACCAGCUGCUCUCUUGGUCCUUCCACUCAACAGGUAACCCAUUUCAAAUCUAA